CCGCAGGGAGUGGAGCAGAAUCGUGGCCGUUAUUGUGGCCUACCAGGGAGUAAUGGAGCCGCAUAGGAUCCACCGUAGGGAGUGGAGCAGAGUCAUGGCCGUUACUACGCUUGCCAGGGGGUCCAGACUUGUCGGCUGAAGUUCGAUUGGAGUCUAUAGUUGGAGUUGGAGGCAAAGUCUGGCUUCCGUAGAAGCUUGGACGAGGUCUUCCUGCAGUCAAAGUUGGGGACGAAGUCCGGCUCCCGUAGGAGUCCAGACGAAGUUUGUUUGCAGUCGGGGUUGGAGAUGGAGUCUGGCU
rnacentral:lncRNA from 1 species